AUUGAACGCUGGCGGCAGGCCUAACACAUGCAAGUCGAGCGAGCGGCGGACGGGUGAGUAAUGUAUGGGGACUGCCCGAUAGAGGGGGAUAACUACUGGAAACGGUGGCUAAUACCGCAUACUAUCGGAUAACCCAUAUGGGAUUAGCUAGUAGGUGCGGUAAAGGCUCACCAAGCCGACGAUCUCUAGCGGGUCUGAGAGGCUGACCAGCCACCCUGGGACGGAGACCCGGCCCAGACUCCUACGGAGGCAGCAGUGGGGAAUAUUGCGCAAGGGGGGCAAGCCUGAUGCAGACAUGCCGCGUGUAUGAAGAAGGCCUUCGGGUGGUAAAGUACUUUCAGCGGGGAGGCGUUACUCGCAGAAGAAGCACCGGCUAACUCCGUGCCAGCAGCCGCGGUAAUUC
rnacentral:rRNA from 1 species